GCUCCUGUGGCUCAGAUGGUAGAGCAAUUGAUUCGUAAUCAAUAGGUCGAGGGUUCAAGUCCCUUCGGGAGCU
rnacentral:tRNA from 1 species